AUUGAACGCUGGCGGCAGGCCUAACACAUGCAAGUCGAGCGGAGCGGCGGACGGGUGAGUAAUGACUAGGAAUCUGCCUGGUAGUGGGGGAUAACGUCCGGAAACGGGCGCUAAUACCGCAUACUAUCAGAUGAGCCUAGGUCGGAUUAGCGAGUUGGUGGGGUAAAGGCCUACAAAGGCGACUAUCCGUAACUUGUCCGAGAGGAUGAUCAGUCACACUGGAACUGAGACACGGUCCAGACUCCUACGGGAGGCAGCAGUGUGGAAUAUUUGACAAUGGGCGAAAGCCUGAUCCAGCCAUGCCGCUUGUGUGAAGAAGGCCUUAGGGUUGUAAAGUACUUUCAGCGGGGAGGCGUUACCCGCAGAAGAAGCACCGGCUAACUCCGUGCCAGCAGCCGCGGUAAUUC
rnacentral:rRNA from 1 species